AACGAACGCUGGCGGCAGGCUUAACACAUGCAAGUCGAGCGCCCCGCAAGGGGAGCGGCAGACGGGUGAGUAACGCGUGGGAAUCUACCCAUCUCUACGGAAUAACGCAUGGAAACGUGUGCUAAUACCGUAUACGUCCUUCGGGAGAAAGAUUUAUCGGAGAUGGAUGAGCCCGCGUUGGAUUAGCUAGUUGGUGGGGUAAAGGCCUACCAAGGCGACUAUCCAUAGCUGGUCUGAGAGGAUGAUCAGCCACACUGGGACUGAGACACGGCCCAGACUCCUACGGGAGGCAGCAGUGGGGAAUAUUGGAAGAUGGGCGCAAGCCUGAUCCAGCCAUGCCGCGUGAGUGAUGAAGGCCCUAGGGUUGUAAAGCUCUUUCACCGGUGGAGAUAAUGACGGUAACCGGAGAGGAAGCCCCGGCUAACUGCGUGCCAGCCGCCGCGGUAACAC
rnacentral:rRNA from 1 species